rnacentral:rRNA from 1 species
AGAAUCAACGCUGGCGGCGUGCCUAACACAUGCAAGUCGAACGAGAAAGUGGAGCAAUCCAUGAGUAAAGUGGCGCACGGGUGAGUAACACGUGACUAACCUACCCUUGAGUGGGGGAUAACCUCGGGAAACCGGGGCUAAUACCGCAUAAUAUCGAGAGAUCAAAGGAGCAAUUCGCUUAAGGAGGGGGUCGCGGCUGAUUAGCUAGUUGGUAGGGUAAUGGCCUACCAAGGCUAUGAUCAGUAUCCGGCCUGAGAGGGCGCACGGACACACUGGAACUGAAACACGGUCCAGACUCCUACGGGAGGCAGCAGUGGGGAAUUUUGCGCAAUGGGGGAAACCCUGACGCAGCAACGCCGCGUGGAGGAUGAAGUCCCUUGGGACGUAAACUCCUUUCGAUCGGGACGAUAAUGACGGUACCGGAAGAAGAGCCCGGCUAACUUCGCGCCAGCACGCCGC